GGAAAUGGUUGGGGGAAUAAGCAAGAAAACACAAAUGUGCUUCCAAAUGCCCCCACCCUCCCGCCAGCUUGACUGUCCAUUUACUCCAGUAUCUCAAUAAAUACCAAUUUUCUCACUAUUAAUUUUGAACCAUGACAUUAACAAAAGUAAUAAGUCUCUACUGGGUAAAGUGAUCGUUCUUUAUAAAGAAAUCCCCGGAAGGGUAACAUUUUCCACAGCAAAGGAAAACAAGCACAGGUAGAGUUGGUGUUUGUUUAUGCUUUCCUGGGAAGGAGCAAACUUAAACAUGAACUCCCCAAAUCUGCUCAAUGUUUCCAGUGAAGGCAUGUAAUUAAUCUAAAAAGCUAGUUAGGUUCCCAAAUGUACACCAUAAAUAUAGCAGGAGCAAACAUGUUAAAUUACACUGUUUAAUUGGAUUGUAAAUAUGAUUUAUAAAUCAACCAACAUAUGGAAUCCCAGGAGAAAAAUAAACAAAUUUUCCACAUGAAAUCCUGCAAUAGGAAUGCGAUAGAAAUCUCAUUUUUGAAAAUGACUUUGCCUAAAUAUUUCAUAAAUAAGACUUCAACCCAUCAACCUCCUUUUCACAUAGACCUUCCUAGAAAGCAGUAAGAAUUCUUUCCUCUGAAAGAAGUCUGUAAUACCCGCCCCACAGCCAGCUACCCUCCACUUAACUUUGGAAAUGAGAUUUAUUAAUACAAAGUGAAACAGAUAAAUUGCGUGUCCCAGAGGAAAAUAAGUUUUCUAUGUUGAGUUGUCUCAGGAAAGGACAGGUCUUAUCUCAUGAGCACUGGAAGAAAUCAAGGAAAAGGCUGAAGGUAUAAUACAUGUAAUAUAGCUUGUGCUACUGAAGGUGUAAUACAUGUAAUAUAGCUUGUGCUACUGAAGGUGUAAUACAGCUUGUGUUAAGUGAUCACACGGCUGUACUAGCAGACAGAGACCUGCCUCAAACAUCCUGUAGGCUCACACAAGGGGACACAGGAGAGACAUUUUAUAAAUGACUUACCAAAGACUUGUGAAUGGAAAAGAUAUGAUUCUCUUGUUUUAAGAACAAAAUAAAGAGUUUAUCACCACCACCCUAUCACAAGACAAGUAUUUACUUCAAGCAAGCCAAAUGAAUAAAGCUGUUGGCAAAAGUAAAUAAGAGUUCCAACCAGCCCUUCACUGUUUGAUUUAUACUUGUUCCAUGUAUUCCUCCAACUCUAAGAAGAUGGAAAUGUAUACGUACCCAAACACUUGUGAGUAUGAAAAGGAGGGGGGGGGGAGGAGGAAGAAGAAGAAAAAGACAAAGAAGAAGAAACUGAUAUGGCAACUGUCUGGAAAUUAGAAGUUAAAGACUAUUUUUCAAAUUCUGGAAAUUGUCCACUCAACAUUUUCUCUCUUGAAGAAAAUGCAAAUACCAGCCCAGUGCCAGUUCUCUGCUCACAGUCUGUCUGUCAGCCACUCGUCAAACCCAUGUGUUCUUUGCUUGCUGAUGACAUGAGUUUGCCCCGGCUUUAUGAUAAAAUAUAUUUGGCCAUAAAAACAAUUGUGCCUCACAUAUAUUUACAACAUCAAUUUCAUAAACAAAACACAAAAUUGCAUCUGAAAAUGAGCAGGUAUUUUUGAGGAAUUAUUUCUCUGAGAUUGUCUUUCAAACUGCAAUUUUUCCCUUCUUUAUUUUGUAAUGACCCUAAUAAAACAAGCCUGGUAAAAUUCAGUGACAGUGAGAACCAGGGCUCAACAUUCAUCUAAGAGAAUGACUUUUUACCUAGGCCCAAAUGUCUCUAGGUUAUAAGAAAUGUAAUACCUAUUUUUUCCUAAAUUUUAUGUCUAAAAUAUUAUUAAAAUUGAUAUAGCCUUACAUUGAUUUGUUUAAUUAUAUUUUGUAUUCUCUUGACAUACAGCAAAAGUUAUGUGCACCGGGUACAGUGCGAUGCUUUUAUAUAGGUUUACAUUGCACAAUGAUCAAGUCAUUUAAAAUGUCAGUCACCGCAGACAUUGUAAGAUAAUAAAAAGAACAUUUACAAUC